rnacentral:rRNA from 1 species
CCCGCGAACUAAUAAUCACCCCGGGGAGGGGGGAAGGAGGCGCACUCGUGUGCAUCCAUCCCUCGCCCCGAAGCCCGGACGAUGCCCCUUCUGCACCGGACUUGUUCGGUGUUAGGGUCGCCCUUCGGCUACAAUAACGAACCCCGGCACGGAAUGUGCCAAGGAAAUCAUAACGAACUCAGCACGCCGCUGCCACCCCGUGCGGCAGCGUCGCUGCAAACUUCGAUACCUAAACGACUCUCGGCAACGGAUAUCUCGGCUCUCGCAUCGAUGAAGAACGUAGCGAAAUGCGAUACUUGGUGUGAAUUGCAGAAUCCCGUGAACCAUCGAGUUUUUGAACGCAAGUUGCGCCCAAAGCCACUCGGCCGAGGGCACGUCUGCCUGGGCGUCACGUAUCGCGUCGCCUCCAAAAGCCCUCCCACCCGUGGGAAGGUGCUGCGGAAGCGGAGAUUGGCCUCCCGUGCUGAUGCACGGCUGGCCUAAAUGCAAGCCUGGGGGUGACGAAAGGUCACGACAAGCGGUGGUUGAUACCUCGGCCCUUGUUGCGUCGUGCCCGCCCGUGCCUCUUGGAGCUCAUCAUCCCCGACGCUACGCCCCUAUGGCGUUUGCUUCGCGACC